ACAAUACAAACUCCUCUUAUGUUCAUUGUGAAAAAAAUUAAAAAAACAAUUCUACUAUAAUUUUAUCUAAUUAACGGAAAAGAAUAGCAGAAAUAUUUUCGAGAUAAUUAUACACAGCAAUUUAGUCUGGUGACUAAACAUAUAUGUAUAAGGCAGUAACAAUCAAAACCAAGGAGUAAAACAAAGACUCAUAACACCAAAUUAAAUUUACAUCAACAGUUAACAGAUAAUGAAUAAGAAACAACACGAACUCCACUAUAAACCGGGAGUGAAAUCAGGUGCUCCGGAACGGUAAGCAUUUCCUGCACCGUAUACGGUACCCGUCGUGUUAUUUCUUUGUUCAGUCCGGUAUUGAUGGAAGGUUAUUAUGACUGAGGAAGAAUAUUAGAUAUGAUUUCUGACACACUUUUGUCAUAAUGGCCAAUCAGCUCAUGAUGUUGACCGUAAAAUUUCUUGAGUGAUGACCUUAAUUUGAUUGAUUCAUAGCCCUGUCUUAGCUAAAACUACUACAAUACGUCUAAAUUAUACGAUGCUUUUUGGUCACUUGACGUUUAGUUAACAACAAUAAUCAAGUAAUAACAAAAUAGAUAAACACACUCUAUAGUAGAGGGGGAACACGCUGACGUCUAGUU
rnacentral:lncRNA from 1 species